rnacentral:rRNA from 1 species
UACGUAGGGUGCAAGCGUUGUCCGGAAUCAUUGGGCGUAAAGCGCGUGUAGGCGGCCAGAAAAGUCCGCUGUGAAAACUCGAGGCUCAACUUCGAGCUGUCGGUGGAAACUUUCUGGCUAGAGUCCGGAAGAGGAGAAUGGAAUUCCUGGUGUAGCGGUGAAAUGCGCAGAUAUCAGGAAGAACACCCGUGGCGAAGGCGGUUCUCUGGGACGGUACUGACGCUGAGACGCGAAAGCGUGGGGAGCGAACAGG